rnacentral:rRNA from 1 species
CAUUAUCGAAAUAGCAUGACGAGUUGUCGCUGGCCCCCAUGCGAGGGUUGUGCACGCUUGUUGUUCUUCAUUUCUCCAUCUCAUUUGUGCACCUCUUGUGUGGAUCAAUGUCCUUUGCGGACGAAUGGGGGGUUUGCUUUGCAAAAUACUUGCGGGCUUUCCUUGUGAUCUAUAUUUUUACAUAUACUCCAGUCACAUAGAAUGAUAUAUAUAUAUAUGGAAAUUGUUAUACAACUUUCAGCAACGGAUCUCUUGGCUCUCGCAUCGAUGAAGAACGCAGCGAAAUGCGAUAAGUAAUGUGAAUUGCAGAAUUCAGUGAAUCAUCGAAUCUUUGAACGCAUCUUGCGCUCCUUGGUAUUCCAAGGAGCAUGCCUGUUUGAGUGUCAUUUAUAUAUCUCAAUCCUGCAUCCGUGAAAAAAAGGGUGUCGGGCUUGGACUUGGGGGUUACAGGCUCUGCUAUUGCAGUCUGCUCUCCUGAAAUACAUGGAGGCCCCUCCCCUGUUUUAAAGGUGUGAUAUAUCUAUCUGCAUCUAAAAUCUUGGGGGGUGUUUGCCGCUGAGGGGGAUGGC